AAAGCCUCCCGGGUUGGUAAUUUUUCAAGUAACAACCGCCAACCGAAAACGCUAACUUUUGAUGGAACAUUGUUCUUCCAUAAUCUUUUCAAUGCUGCCACUGUAUUUGUAUCAAGAGUAGUACCUACACAUUUGUCCUGCAAAACCAUGUACGUUGAUCGAACCGAAAAAGAACCAUCAGAAUUUGAUGACCAUCUUCGCCUGUCGCUAGAAGCUCUGUUAGGCCGAACUUGUUCAAGCAAUUGAUGCAAUUCAUUGAGGGAUUCAAUAUCUGCAUCAUCAAGUGCUUCCAUCCAAUUAAGUUUUCAAGACCACAUGUUGUUAUUCCAUAUCCCCAUAUUUGAAAUGCAAGCAUCUUUAUGAGUUGAUUUUUGGAACAAAGAUGGAUACAGUUCACUUAACGGUUCCAUUCCUAACCAUUUUUCCUUCCAAAAAGCUAUAUUGUUACCGUCGCCGAGAAUGCUACUAAUAUUAUUAACAAACCAACCCCCUUCCUCCGUUCCUCCUGUUUUCCACAUAUCCCGCCACCAAAUUGAAGCAU
rnacentral:lncRNA from 1 species